AAAUUUCUCUCAGGAUAGCAGGAACAGAUUAUACAGUUUUAUCAGGUAAAGCUAAUGAUUAGUGGACUCGGGGGUCUGAGACUCUCGACCAAUUCUACAAACUUUAAAUUGGUAAGUAACCUUUAGUUAUCUUAAUUGAACUGAAGGGAUGAAUGUAUUGUUCUUAGUGGGCCAUUUUUGGUAAGCAGAACUGGCGAUGAGGGAUGAACCUAACGUUGAGAUAAGGUGCCCAAAUUCACGCUCAUGAGACACCAUAAAAGGUGUUGGUUAGUUUAAACAGCCGGACUGUGGCCAUGGAAGUCGGCAGCAGCUAAGGAGUGUGUAACAACUCACCAGCCGAAUUAACCAGCCCUGAAAAUUGAUGGCGCUAAGCGUGAUACCGAUACUCAACCAUUAAGGCAAAUAGAAGCUUUAAUGAGUAAGAGGGC
rnacentral:rRNA from 1 species